GGUUCCGUAGGUGAACCUGCGGAAGGAUCAUUACCGAGUGAGGGCCCUCUGGGUCCAACCUCCCACCCGUGUCUAUCGUACCUUGUUGCUUCGGCGGGCCCGCCGUUUCGACGGCCGCCGGGGAGGCCCUGCGCCCCCGGGCCCGCGCCCGCCGAAGACCCCAACAUGAACGCUGUUCUGAAAGUAUGCAGUCUGAGUUGAUUAUCGUAAUCAGUUAAAACUUUCAACAACGGAUCUCUUGGUUCCGGCAUCGAUGAAGAACGCAGCGAAAUGCGAUAAGUAAUGUGAAUUGCAGAAUUCAGUGAAUCAUCGAGUCUUUGAACGCACAUUGCGCCCCCUGGUAUUCCGGGGGGCAUGCCUGUCCGAGCGUCAUUGCUGCCCUCAAGCACGGCUUGUGUGUUGGGCCCCCGUCCCCCUCUCCCGGGGGACGGGCCCGAAAGGCAGCGGCGGCACCGCGUCCGGUCCUCGAGCGUAUGGGGCUUUGUCACCUGCUCUGUAGGCCCGGCCGGCGCCAGCCGACACCCAACUUUAUUUUUCUAAGGUUGACCUCGGAUCAGGUAGGGAUACCCGCUGAACUUAAGCAUAUCA
rnacentral:misc_RNA from 1 species